rnacentral:rRNA from 1 species
AGUGAACGCUGGCGGUAGGCCUAACACAUGCAAGUCGAACGGCAGCACAGUAAGAGCUUGCUCUUACGGGUGGCGAGUGGCGGACGGGUGAGGAAUACAUCGGAAUCUACUUUUUCGUGGGGGAUAACGUAGGGAAACUUACGCUAAUACCGCAUACGACCUACGGGUUAAAGCAGUGGAUCUUCGGACCUUGCGCGAUUGAAUGAGCCGAUGUCGGAUUAGCUUGUUGGCGGGGUAAAGGCCCACCAAGGCGACGAUCCGUAGCUGGUCUGAGAGGAUGAUCAGCCACACUGGAACUGAGACACGGUCCAGACUCCUACGGGAGGCAGCAGUGGGGAAUAUUGGACAAUGGGCGCAAGCAUGAUCCAGCAAUACCGCGUGGGUGAAGAAGGCCUUCGGGUUGUAAAGCCCUUUUGUUGGGAAAGAAAAGCAGCAGGUUAAUACCCCGCUGUUCUGACGGUACCCAAAGAAUAAGCACCGGCUAACUUCGUG